rnacentral:rRNA from 1 species
AACGAACGCUGGCGGCAUGCCUAACACAUGCAAGUCGAACGAAGGCUUCGGCCUUAGUGGCGCACGGGUGCGUAACGCGUGGGAAUCUGCCCUUGGGUUCGGAAUAACUCCUCGAAAGGGGUGCUAAUACCGGAUGAUGUCGUAAGACCAAAGAUUUAUCGCCCAAGGAUGAGCCCGCGUAGGAUUAGCUAGUUGGUGAGGUAAAGGCUCACCAAGGCGACGAUCCUUAGCUGGUCUGAGAGGAUGAUCAGCCACACUGGGACUGAGACACGGCCCAGACUCCUACGGGAGGCAGCAGUGGGGAAUAUUGGACAAUGGGCGAAAGCCUGAUCCAGCAAUGCCGCGUGAGUGAUGAAGGCCUCAGGGUUGUAAAGCUCUUUUACCCGGGAUGAUAAUGACAGUACCGGGAGAAUAAGCCCCGGCUAACUCCGUGCCAGCCGCCGCGGUAAUAC